GAUGAACGCUGACAGAAUGCUUAACACAUGCAAGUCGAUGGGGAAGCGGUGCUUGCACCGUGAAACCAUGGCGGACGGGUGAGUAACGCGUAAAGAACUUACCGAAUGGACUGGGAUAACAGCUGGAAACGGCUGAUAAGACCGGAUAUUAUGAACUUGUUGCAUAGUGAGUUUAUGAAAAGAGAUGCCAUUUGAGAGCUUUGCGUCCUAUUAGCUAGUUGGUAAGGUAACGGCUUACCAAGGCGAUGAUAGGUAGCCGGCCUGAGAGGGUGGACGGCCACAAGGGGACUGAGAUACGGCCCUUACUCCUACGGGAGGCAGCAGUGGGGAAUAUUGGACAAUGGGGGCAACCCUGAUCCAGCAAUUCUGUGUGCACGAAGAAGGUUUUCGGAUCGUAAAGUGCUUUCAGCAGGGAGGAAGAAAGUGACUGUACCUGCAGAAGAAGCGACGGCUAAAUACGUGCCAGCAGCCGCGGUAAUACGUAUGUCGCGAGCGUUAUCCGGAAUUAUUGGGCAUAAAGGGCAUCUAGGCGGCCAGAUAAGUCCGAGGUGAAAACUGCCGGCUCAACCAGCAGCUUGCCUUGGAAACUACCUGGCUAGAGUAUUGGAGAGGUGGACGGAACUACACGAGUAGAGGUGAAAUUCGUAGAUAUGUGUAGGAAUGCCGAUGAUGAAGAUAGUUCACUGGACGAUAACUGACGCUGAAGUGCGAAAGCUAGGGGAGCGAACAGG
rnacentral:rRNA from 1 species